CAUUGUUAAUGCAACACACAUCACACCCCACUGGUGACCAUCGUGUUCCUGCAGCUAAUGCAGAGAGGCCGGCCCCAGACAGGACUUCCUGGAGAAAGAUAUUAUCAGGAAGAAGUCUAGAACUUGACUCAGGCCAGCAAUCUUGAUUACAGCUUGUGCUUCAUCCAGCCUGGCAUUUCACAUUAUCUGGGUAGACUUAACCUAACAAGAGCUCUCAGUGAGUUUUCAUCAGCUGGUAGCAGAAGAGGACAUUAGAAAGAGAAGCAGGAGAAGAUUUGACACCAGGUGCUGACCUUGAAGAUGGAGAAGACAAUGUACAGAGAUUAGACUGGCCUCUGGGACUGAGUAAACCCUGGCCACCAGUCAGCAAGGAAGCUCAGUCCUACAGCUGAACAAGCCAGAUAAGAGUUCAGAGGUGAACUCAAGAAGAGGACCUGGUCCUGAGUUUGUGAGAAUGUGUUUGGCUGCAAUGGAAAACUAGCACAGUAAUUUGCAGCCUUCAAGUGGGGCCUGAACCAACUUGAUGCAUCAAA